rnacentral:lncRNA from 1 species
GGGGAGUUAUUUGGUCGGGCUUGCCUAGCCUUGCGGCCGGGCGCCAUCACGAUCGGGAUUUGGGUCGUGACAGUUGGGGAGGAUGUGACAGCCCAACCAGUCGUCACAUGAGGUAAUGCCCCUUUUCCCCUUUAUGGUGUGGCUUCAUGUCUCAAUGUCAGUAUUAGAGUUCAUCGAGUGUAAUUGAAUUGGUUUUGCUUGAAAAUAAGGCACAUAGCCUCUUAGAAGGAAGCUUGUAUUAGAAAAGUCAAUCGGGAGUUGACUAUGUGGCUAGAGGGCCCGGAUGUGAAUUCCGAUGGUUCAGUCAGCUUCAAGUGAUGAUUUGUGACUUAGGAGUGCGAUCAGAAUUUAAUUUAGAGGUUUAGUGUAGAAUUAGGCUUGAAUUGGAGAAGUUUGAAUUUUGGCGGAUUCCGGUUGAUAGGUGAGAUUUUGAUCCGAGGGUCAGAAUUUCUGUAGCUUUGUUAGAUUAUUUUGGAUAUGUGUGCAA